GGGCAACAGAGUGAGAUUCCACCUCAAAAACAAAACAAAACAAAAAACCUGAAGCCAAAUAAACUUGUCCAUUAUGAACUUACAGGCCCUCUGUGCCUCCAACUCACCUUUUUCAACGCUUCCUACCUCCCUGUGGUGUUCAAAAAUCUGUUUUAUUGUACACCCUCUUCUCUCAUCUUCACUUUCAGAUACUUCAAACAUCUGACCUCAUGGUUGUUUUUUUUUUGAGAUGUCUUGCUGUGUCACCCAGACUGGUCUCUAACUCAAGGGAUCUGCCCGUCUCAGCCUCCCCAACUGUUGGGAUUACAGGCGUGAGCCACUGCACCUGGCGGCCUCACAAUUCUUCAGCCUGAAGUUACACCUCUCAGCCACAGCUUGACCUUUCACUUCCCACCACAACCUCACUCCUGGAUCUGCAGCUCCACCAUCAUACAGAGAAAAAGGCCUGACUCUGGUCUACAACUUGACUCAAGCCUCUACCACAUUCACAAUGAUGAUGUCAGCUCCUACUACCUCCACCCUCACUUACUUCAAUGCAGCCACUCCGGCCCUCUUGCAGCUCAUAGAACACAUCAAGCACAUCCAGCUUCAAACACUUUGUAUUUAAGUUCCUUCAGUCUAAAAUGCCCUCCCCACCCUAUCCAAAAUACCCAGAGGGCCUGCUCCCUCACUUCAUUUGGAGCUGCCAACUCAAAUGUCACCUAAUCAGAGAGGUCUUCCCUAACUUUACCUUAGUAAACAUAUCCCUCCUUCAUCAAUGUCUACUUUUCCCUAAUAUAUUUCCAUACCUUAAUGACAAUGGCAAACAAGGUAUAAAUCUUCAAAAUAACACUUAUCACCACCCAACAUAUUAUAUAGUAGGCCCUCCAUAUCUGUGUGUUCUAUAUCGGUGGGUUCCACAUCCAUGAAUACAACCAACUAUGAAUCGAAAAUAUUGGAUGCGGGGCCAGGCCUGGUGGUGCAUGCCUGUAAUUCCAGCUACUCUGAAGGCUGAGGCAGGAGAAUCGCUUGAACCAGGGAAGUGGAAGUUGCAGUGAGCUGAGAUCGCGCCAUUGCACUCCAGCCUGGGCAACAAAGUGACACUCCAUUUCAAAAAAUUAAAGAAAAAAAAGAAAUAUUGGAUCGGGUAAUGGUUCUGUUGUGCCUGUACUAAACAUGUACAGACUUUUUUCUAUUGUCAUUAUUCCCUA
rnacentral:lncRNA from 10 species